rnacentral:rRNA from 1 species
GACGAACCGUGCGAACGUUGUUCGGAAUCACUGGGCUUAAAGGGCGCGUAGGCGGCUUGCAAAGUCAGGGGUGAAAGCCUCCAGCUUAACUGGAGAAGUGCCUUUGAUACUGGCGAGCUCGAGCGAGGUAGGGGCGGGUGGAACUUCCGGUGGAGCGGUGAAAUGCGUUGAUAUCGGAAGGAACGCCGGUGGCGAAAGCGACCCGCUGGACCUCUUCUGACGCUGAGGCGCGAAAGCCAGGGGAGCAAACGGG